UGGGGAUAUUGCACAAUGGGGGAAACCCUGAUGCAGCCAUGCCGCGUGUGUGAAGAAGGCCUUCGGGUUGUAAAGCACUUUCAGUAGGGAGGAAAGGGUGUAGUUUAAUACGCUAUAUCUGUGACGUUACCUACAGAAGAAGGACCGGCUAACUCCGUGCCAGCAGCCGCGGUAAUACGGAGGGUCCGAGCGUUAAUCGGAAUUACUGGGCGUAAAGCGUGCGCAGGCGGUUUGUUAAGCGAGAUGUGAAAGCCCUGGGCUCAACCUAGGAAUAGCAUUUCGAACUGGCGAACUAGAGUCUUGUAGAGGGGGGUAGAAUUCCAGGUGUAGCGGUGAAAUGCGUAGAGAUCUGGAGGAAUACCGGUGGCGAAGGCGGCCCCCUGGACAAAGACUGACGCUCAUGCACGAAAGCGUGGGGAGCAAACAGGAUUAGAUACCCUGGUAGUCCACGCCGUAAACGAUGUCUACUCGGAGUUUGGUGUCUUGAACACUGGGCUCUCAAGCUAACGCAUUAAGUAGACCGCCUGGGGAGUACGGCCGCAAGGUUAAAACUCAAAUGAAUUGACGGGGGCCCACACAAGA
rnacentral:rRNA from 1 species